rnacentral:lncRNA from 1 species
AUGCAGCGCCCACCCCCCGCAAACUCGUGGGCAGCUGCGGGCGCAAAUAGGCCGGGGAGGAGCGGCAGGACUGCGGGGAACCCCUCCUUGCGCGUCUCCCGCCACCUCCGUUUUCAGCCCACUCUUUGUUUAGUGAAAAGCGGGAACGUGGGGAGGAUAGAAGAGCAGUUUUUGUUUCUUUCCUCGUUUAAACUAAAGCUCGCUUUCUGGCGAAGAGGGAAACCAACGACCCGCGCUGACGCUUGCUCGCUUCGGGGCCUGGAGCGGGGCGCGCAGGGGGCAGCUUGCGCCGUGCCGCUGUCCCCACGCUCUGCCCGCGUGGAUCUCCAGCCGCGUCCCGCCUCCCCACGGGCCACGCCUGCCGACCCCGUCGCGCGCUUUCUCGUUCGUGCGGAAGGGCAGAUGUGGGGGCACCUGGGUGUUGGAGGCUCGGAGGUCGUAAAAUUGGCCCCAGGUCCGGGCUCUUCCGAAGCCCGGGGCCGGAAGAGCUGGGGCUUGGGCCGCCAGUCCGGGGAGACCUCCAAGCGGAACAGAAGGAGCACCUGCAGACGCUCGAAGCUUCCCCUGGGGAAAAGCAUACGUCGGUAGACACGCUGCGCGGCGCCAGAGCUAACUCUCAGUUUACCGCGCGUCCUGCCUUAGGGGGUGCUGAGGCCCUUGGGGGGAACCCUUGAGCAAAGCAGAGGACGCGGGAGACCGUCCGGGUCAGGUGGGCCGAGACCCACGAAGGUGGAGGUCUGCUUCCCUACGUCCUGCGUAGAAAAUGAUUUUUAAACAUUUUAUUUUUGAAAAUGAUUUUUAGUCACACUUGUCGUGGAGGUAGGAAAAGGGAGGGAAGUCAAAAGAAAGGAGGAGGCCGACCUUUAUUUUACAAGAAAAACCCAGGAAAAAUGGAUUGGUCGAAUUGUGGAGUAGGAGGGAGGGAAGGAAGGAUGAAGACAUUCCUUCUUUGUUCUUAAAAGCCCGAGCACUUUGGUUUGUUUGUUUGUUUCCCAAAAUCAAAAUACAGAGAGGCAGUCCUUGUAGGGGCAUGCUUAUGCAAUCGAGAGAUGCUGCUCAUUAAUUAGUUCACUUUUAAAACAUUUGCUGGGCUGAGCAAAGUUUUUAGAAGGUUCUUUCUCAGAACCCAGCCCCGAUGUGAAGCUCAACUCGAUUUAAGGCAGACCUAGGAUCAAAAUUUCAGACGAGAUCAUGCGUGUAUACAUCUGUACAAAAAUACACAUGCCACAGAGUUUGUAUUCCUUCCAGGCGAAGACAAGAGAUUCUAUAGUAAAUUAUACGUGAUGGCUGAGUUUUUUUCUGGUAACCUCUUGUCACCAGAGAGGAGUACUGAGUUAUCUUUCUCUCCAUUCCCAAUUAAUAAAUCUACUGAGAGAGAGAGAACUCUCCUUAUG